GAACCAACGCCAGCACCCUUGGUGGCGAAUGAAGUGCAGCUGCACGUAGAUGGAAGCUGGAAUCCUGCUGCUCAGCGCAUGGGCUACGAGGCUUUUCUUCAAGACUCGAAUGAAAACUGGCUAUCUGGAGUGUCUGCAAGCAUGGGUACGGGGUCGUCGUUUCUUGUUGAGUUAUUAGCAAUGGAGCACGGGCUCCUCCAUGCUUGGAGUCUUGGUCACCGAGCUGUUCUUUGUAUGGCAGAUUGCAGGCAAGCUGGGGAUAUUGUGCAGCAGGAAGGAGAUGUUUCCAGUUAUUGGGAGAAGGAUGCUAUCGUAAGGCUCAGAGCUUUACUGAGCAGAAACUGGCAUGUGAGGCUUGUAUGGAUCCCUCGUGAGAAGAACUCUGCUGCAGAUACUAUGGCUCGGCAAGCAGUGCGUGACGGAGCAGGGCAUCGUGUUUGAGCCCAACCUCCUUUGGGUGUUUUGACAGCAUUGUAUGCUGAUAGUUUAGUGUAGCCCUUGUUUUAUUUUUCCUAUGUAACCAAAAAAAGUAUACACUAACACUGACUAUCCCUGUAACUUAUGAAUUGCCAGCUAGAGCUCAAUUUUGAGAAUGUAGCUGAUGAAGUGGGGAGCCGAAAGUGACAAGCUUUGCGUACGAAAUUGGACAAGAGCUCAAUUUUUAGAAUGUAGCCGAUGAAGUGGGGAGCCGAAGAGACAAGCUUUGCGUACGAAAUUGGACAAGAUAUCUUUCCA
rnacentral:lncRNA from 1 species